GCUGGGCGCAGUGUGCCAUGCCUGUAAUCCCAGCAGCUUGGGAGGCUGAGACAGGAGGAUCUUGAGUUCAAAGCCAGCCUCAGCAAUGGCGAGGGGCGCUAAGCAACUCAGUGAGACCCUGUUUCUA
rnacentral:sRNA from 1 species